rnacentral:rRNA from 1 species
GCUCAGAAACUUAAAGGAAUUGACGGGGCCCGCACAAGCGUGGAGCAUGUGGUUAAUUCGAUGAUACGCGAGGAACCUUACCUGGGCUCAAAUGUAUGUUGACGUAUUCUGAAAGGGAUACUUCUUCGGACAAUAUACAAGGUGCUGCAUGGUUGUCGUCAGCUCGUGCCGUGAGGUGUCGGGUUAAGUCCCAUAACGAGCGCAACCCCUAUCAUUAGUUGCCAUCAGGUCAAGCUGGGGACUCUAAUGAAACUGCCUACGCAAGUAGUGAGGAAGGUGGGGAUGACGUCAAAUCAGCACGGCCCUUACGUCCAGGGCUACACACGUGCUACAAUGGCCGGUACAAAGGGCAGCUACCUGGUGACAGGAUGCUAAUCUCAAAAGCCGGUCUCAGUUCGGAUUGGAGGCUGCAACUCGCCUCCAUGAAGUCGGAAUCGCUAGUAACCGCAGAUCAGCUACGUUGCGGUGAAUACGUUCCCGGGCCUU